rnacentral:rRNA from 1 species
UACGUAGGGUGCAAGCGUUGUCCGGAAUUAUUGGGCGUAAAGAGCUCGUAGGCGGUUUGUUGCGUCGGCUGUGAAAUCCCGAGGCUCAACCUCGGGUCUGCAGUCGAUACGAGCAAACUAGAGUGUUGCAGGGGAGACUGGAAUUCCGUGGUGUAGCGGUGAAAUGCGCAGAGUAUCAGGAGGAACACCGGUGGGCGAAGGCGGGUCUCUGGGCA